CUUUCAGCUGUAUCCACACUAGGUGCACCAGUCGACAGAAAAGUCAGGUUUUGGGGAUUCAACUCGAUCCGGAGUCAGGUGGAUAGAAGAUCCUGCAACCACUUUGUCAAUUUAAAUGCAAAACAGAGGUGACGUUUACAUUUGUUAUCUGCUUCCGCGGCGAUCCAAGGCUACUCCAGCGUUCCAUAAAAAUAUGAAAUAAUGUGCAGAUGUUAACUUCUAACAAUACUUUAAUAUUUUGCAAUCCAGAAUCAUUCAAUUUGGACAGUUUCUUAUAUUGUGUGUAGUGGUUGUAACGCAUUAGAUGAAGCUUGGUUGUAACUAUUAGUGGAGUAGUGGUUGUAACUAUUAGCGGAGUAGUGGUUGUAACGCAUUAGUGGAGUAGUGGUUGUAACGCAUUAGUGGAGUAGUGGUUGUAAUGUAUUAGUGGAGUAGUGGUUGUAA
ensembl:lncRNA